GUCUUGAGUCCUGACAUCUAAAUGUUCUGAUACUCCCAAUGAAUCAAAUGGGAACUUGACUCUAUCUUACGUUGUGUUUGGUUGGGGAGGAUGGAAUGGAAUGAGUAAAAAUAAAAGAAAAUAUCAGAGGUACGAGGGAAGUUUGGAUAAAAAUUGAUUACAGGAUAGAAUGGAGCAUUUGUUCUUAAAUUGGGGACUUGACUUCUAGUAUAGGGUGUCAGGAAUGGAAUGGAAGAAGGAAUGAAUUUCUUGAACAAUUGUCCAUAAUAUAGUUCAAAUUUCAUUCCAUUCCUUCCUCAUUCAUACAACCCAACCAAACACAACAUGAGUCUUCUAUUUAACUUCUAGCUGGACAAUGGGCAAUUUUGCUGCUCCUCUUUUUCCGCAAUUCAAUUGUUUUGAUAUUCCAAUCGAAUUUAGUAAAUCGGCAAAACUUCUUUUCAGUUCCCUAAUGCUAACAUCUUACCACCAUUACAAGAAAGCAUUUAAUCUUUACUGAAAAAACUAAACACAUGGUCCAGUUACGAUGAUAUCACCAGAAGAUGAUUCUAGAGUCAAUAUCUGUAAUAAUAGGUAAUAUACUCAAAGGGAUCCAGAUUUAGACAGCCUUACCGUUCCUCAGUAGAAAGUUUUGGACAAGACGUUACAAAUUCUAAAGAAAAUUUAAUACAGAUACAGUUAGGGUAAAAGCUGAAACAAGAUUGGAAAUAGUGAUAGGCUUAUUCUCCAAUCAUAAAUUAAACAAUUGUGAACUCAUUUGAAAUGUGUACAACUGUAGCUGCACGUGAAUUUUACAAGGCAGAUACUAAAUUGCAUGAUUUCCAACAGAUGUGUGCUUUCAAUUCAAUCUGUUAACUCACUGUACAAUUUUCAGACUUUGCUUGUUUAUUGCAAAUGACUAGAACUGCCAUCUCAUAUUUGCCUACAGUCGAAAGGAUUUUUCUGAUUGGUGGCCACAUGCCUCUAGCCUUAAUCUCAUAAUUCUUAGUUCUUAAUAGUUAUAGACUUAGUCUGUGUCUCUAAUUAUGAUAAAGAAAUUCCACUCCUAAUAAUUGCAAUGAUCCAGUAUACAACGGUGAUUUUUUGUUCUUUCAUGGACAGAGCAGACAGCUCAGGUACCUUUUGAACACGCAUCUAUGCUCUAGCUCUAAUCAACUAAAAGUCACAACCACAAGACCGCUAAUUAUUUGCAGCCCAAAAGAGUUUCAACUCAGAGAUUUCAAUUACUUGUCGUUUAAGCUUUAGAUCCUACAGUAGCAGGUAUAGUAACUUAAUACUUUGUAAUUUCUACUCUUCAUGUUUCCAUUUUACAGAAUAAACCUAUUUAUUGUAACAGGGCACAUGAACAGUUUGUCUUGCACUUUACAAGUCGUUGUAAAUCAUCAAGUCUUGGUUUUUCAUUAAUGCUAUAGUGCAUGUUUCUAUACUUGGAGCAUGUUUGGGUUUAUUUAUAU
rnacentral:lncRNA from 1 species